rnacentral:rRNA from 1 species
AGUGAACGCUGGCGGUAGGCCUAACACAUGCAAGUCGAACGGCAGCACAGUAAGAGCUUGCUCUUACGGGUGGCGAGUGGCGGACGGGUGAGGAAUACAUCGGAAUCUACUUUUUCGUGGGGGAUAACGUAGGGAAACUUACGCUAAUACCGCAUACGACCUACGGGUGGAAGCAGGAGAUCUUCGGACCUUGCGCGAUUGAAUGAGCCGAUGUCGGAUUAGCUAGUUGGCGGGGUAAAGGCCCACCAAGGCGACGAUCCGUAGCUGGUCUGAGAGGAUGAUCAGCCACACUGGAACUGAGACACGGUCCAGACUCCGACGGGAGGCAGCAGUGGGGAAUAUUGGACGAUGGGCGCAAGCCUGAUCCAGCCAUACCGCGUGGGUGAAGAAGGCCUUCGGGUUGUAAAGCCCUUUUGUUGGGAAAGAAAAGCAGCAGGUUAAUACCCCGCUGUUCUGACGGUACCCAAAGAAUAAGCACCGGCUAACUUCGUG